rnacentral:lncRNA from 1 species
AGUCCUAUAAUCAGAGCUUCAUAUUCUGCUCCAUUAUUUGUCGCAGGAAAUUCGAAGCACAGCGCAUACUCUGUGAUAAUUUCAUCUGGAUUGACCAAGAUUAGGCCCGCACCUGCACCUGAUAUGUUGGAGGAACCGUCCAUGUAGAGGGCCCAAAAACCAUCAGGGAGAUCUGUUCUUUCUUCAGGGGAGUUCAGCUGGAGUCCUGGGCUGUCGGCUUCAUCUCAUCCAAGUUCGGCCUCUUUCGGGAU